rnacentral:rRNA from 1 species
UCGUACGCACUGGCCCAACUGAUUGAUGGUGCUUGCACCUAAUUGACGUUGGAUCACCAGUGAGUGGCGGACGGGUGAGUAACACGUAGGUAACCUGCCCCGGAGCGGGGGAUAACAUUUGGAAACAGAUGCUAAUACCGCAUAACAACAAAAGCCACAUGGCUUUUGUCUGAAAGAUGGCUUUGGCUAUCACUCUGGGAUGGACCUGCGGUGCAUUAGCUAGUUGGUAAGGUAACGGCUUACCAAGGCGAUGAUGCAUAGCCGAGUUGAGAGACUGAUCGGCCACAAUGGAACUGAGACACGGUCCAUACUCCUACGGGAGGCAGCAGUAGGGAAUCUUCCACAAUGGGCGCAAGCCUGAUGGAGCAACACCGCGUGAGUGAAGAAGGGUUUCGGCUCGUAAAGCUCUGUUGUUGGAGAAGAACGUGCGUGAGAGUAACUGUUCACGCAGUGACGGUAUCCAACCAGAAAGUCACGGCUAACUACGUGCCAGCAGCCGCGGUAAUACGUAGGUGGCAAGCGUUAUCCGGAUUUAUUGGGCGUAAAGCGAGCGCAGGCGGUUGCUUAGGUCUGAUGUGAAAGCCUUCGGCUUAACCGAAGAAGUGCAUCGGAAACCGGGCGACUUGAGUGCAGAAGAGGACAGUGGAACUCCAUGUGUAGCGGUGGA